CCCAGCCCUGGAGUGCGCGGUGGCCUCUCCGCAGCCCAGCUCCAGGGCUCUCAGAAUUGGGGAAGCCCCAGGCCCGGUGCGAGCUUCGAAAACCGACGGCGCCUAGCGGGACUUGCCGGGGCCCUGACCUAGGCGGACGGGGCACGAGUUCCACCCCGCUCUACCAAGGACCUACAAGUGACGGCAGGUGUGAGGGCCAGAGAGCUUCGAGCAUUUGAAGGUUUGACUCCGGGCUCAGCCACCCACUUUGCUCCUGUGGCGCGCGCUGUCUUCAGUCGCCAGUGCGGUGCCCUGAACUGGAGAGGGAAAGAAGAUGAUGUUCCAGUCCCAGCGUUUUAUUCACCGGCUGCCUGACCCUAGACGCUUCUUCCUCUGGAACUCAGUUUACUCAUCCGAAAAAUAGGGAUAGUAAUGGAUUGGAGGAGAACAGGAAGCUUUUGUCACCCAAACUCUCUAUAAAAAUAAAUGAU